AUGUUUUACAUUGUUUUGCAGCCUCCCUUGUUGCUACGAGGGGUAAGGGAUAUUGGGUGGGAGCAUGCAGUGGAUCUUGAUGGAAAUAAAAAACGGUGGCAGUGCAAGUGGUGUGAUUUAUGUCGAAGUGGUGGGGUAACUACAUUGAAGGCUCAUCUUACUGACAGCAGCUGCCCGAAAAUUCCAAUGGAAAUGUCAAAGCAAGUGUUGCACUUCGUUGAAGAGAAAAGAGCAGCACGCCAACUUUUUAAUAGGGACCCAUGGCCCCCUUACAAGAAAAUUGAUGGGGUUAGUCUUUUUUGCUCAGAAGUGAAAGAGGAGGGGACUGUAUCAUAUAAGAAUGGUCAGCAACCUUCAAAUAAUGGUAUGCAUAUGCAAACAUCAGGGAAUUGCACUAUUGACGAGUUGGCAGCUCGAAGCAACCAAUGUGGUACAGAACAUAGUGGCCAACCAGUUGAGGAUUAUGAGCAGUCAAAGAAAGGCAGUGAUUGGGCAGAGGAGCAGUUGCCAAUCGAGAAUGGCAAGCACCAUGUACUAAAUAAUGAGCACCACAUUGUUGACAAGAACAAUGGGAAUCCACAAAAUAGAGAGAAGUUGAACUUAGAGUGUGAUAACUCAAUACAAGGUGCCGUAACUACAUUGAAGGCUCAUCUUACUGGAUCAGAAGAGGAAGGGACUGUACCAUGUAAGAAUGAUCAGCAACCUUCAAAUAAUGAUAUGCAUAUGCAAACAUCGGAGAAGUGCGCUAUUGAUGAGAAGUUGGCAGCUCGAAGCAACCAAUGCGGUAAACAUCAUUGUGGACAACCAGUUGAGAAUUAUGAACAGUCAAAGAUAUGCAGCGAUUGGCCCGAGGAGCAGUUACCAAUGGAGCAUGAAAAGCAUCAUGUACUAAAUAAUGAGCACCAGAUUGUGGACAAGACCACUGAGAAUUCACAAAACAAACAGAUAUUGAAACAUCCUCGGAAGACCAGGUUUAACUUACGGAAACAUAUUGUUAUCAUUGAUGAAAUUGCAAGGCAUUGGAGGUGUAGGUACUGUGGUAUGGAUGGACAUGGCAAAACAUCUAGGCUCCAUUAUCAUCUUGCUGGCGUCUUUCGUCAUCCUAAGUGCACAAGUGUCCCUAAAGAAGUUUUUGCAAAGGCAAAACACCAUAUUCUAAUAAAGAGAAGGCCCGGGAUGAAAAAGACUGGGCAGCAAGCUCCUCCAGAGCCACAAAUUCUUGUGCAAUCCAGUGUAAUACUGGAGAACAAUGAUCCAGCAUUUAGCAAUCUUCCACAAUUGCCAAUAAAUGGUUUGUCGAGCGAGGCGCGUUCCAGUUACCCGACAAGGUUAAGGGACAAUGCAUGGGAACAUUCACUGGUUUAUGACAGAGAAAAAGGACAUUGGAAGUGCAAGUGGUGCAGCUUAGAGGGUUAUCAUGGUGUAACUAGAUUAAAGUGGCAUCUUGUUGGCUGGCAAAAUCAUCCUCGAUGCUGUAAAAUUCCAGAAGAUGCCGCUAAGAGGGUUAGAGACCAAAUGAUAUCAAGGGAAAAGAAGAAAGUGAGAACAUCAGGUCCACAUGCCGGUAUUGACAGUGGUGACAUUCUUUGCUCUUCUAUGAGUUCACAAUUUGAUGAAGAGCAUUUCACUAUAGCUGUGCAGAAUAGUAGUUCUUCCCAAGCUUUUGAUGAAGCUAACAGAACAUCAAAUACAUGCAACACGUUAUCAAAUACUAUAUCCGGUUCUCAGCCACUCAUGGAGGGCCCUCAUGGAAUAUUAUAUAGUAACACAAACAAAUCUGAGAUGCUAUCUAGAAGAAGUGACUGUUGGAGUCACUGGAGAUAUGUUUUGAAUGGACUGAUGCAUUUGCAUGGUGUACAGGAGGGUGCUGGCAUCCAGAGUUGCAUCCGUGAUGUCCUCCACAGUUGCUCUAAAUUUGAAUCUCUCAGGGACAAAGUGGAAAUGGAUUCUGACAGAACAGUGUCAAGGAAUACGGGUAUUGCUGAGUGCAAGAACGUUCUUGUGGACAUUUUGAGAUCAGAGGAUUUUGCCUUGUUAUGCAAUGUUCUUCGCAAAACUGUGCAUCAAGAUGGGGAAAGGACUAAGUAUUUCGAUUUUGGUGUGAUUGACUCUAGAAUGAAAAAUGGAGAGUAUGGGUGUGCACCUGAAAUAUUCAAAGAUGAUUUAAAACUGUUAUGGGAAAAUCUUAAAAUGGCUGGCCAAGAUAUCAUUGACCUAGCAAAUAAUCUUUCAAGUCUCACAGAAGCCUCCUACACAAAUGAGGUUGGAAGACAAAGAGGAUCAUGUGAUUGUGAGGAGGAACUCAAGGGAGCUGUGUUGGGCAGCUCUGAACCCAAGAAAUUGGUCGAAUCAGCUCCAUCAGUACCCUCGACCUCACAGGGAUGCCAACCAUUGGACUAUCCAGAGCGAACAGAUGUUUCUGAUGUUCAAAAGGGCAGUGCCUGUGACCAAUGUGGCAAAGAGACGAGAGGUGUCAGCACCGUCAUAUGUAACGUAUGCAAGUUAGUGUGUCACAUGUCAUGCAUUGAUCCUCCGAUACCAUCCACGUCGACGGGAAGCUGGUAUUGCAAAGGCUGCAGCAGUACCACCUGCAACGAAUCAGCUCAAGGAGGUUAUGAACCGAAUAGCUUGCAUGGAAAUUGUGUCCUAUGCAAAAGACUUGAGGUGUGCAUGCCCCCAGAAUGCAAAGAACAGACACCUGUUGGUAAGUCAAGAGCAACUGUGCUUUCCAGUACUGAGGGUCGGGAACUGUCGAACAUUGACCCCGGUGGUUCAUGCAAGAUAUGUGGAACUCCUGAAGAGGAUGCCAAGAGAUUCCUCGUAUGUGGUCACAGCCACUGUCCAUACAAGUACUACCACAUUUGCUGUCUGAAGUCUAAACAGAUUGCUAGCGAUAUGCAGCGGGACAAACCGUGCUGGUACUGUCCAUCAUGCCUUUGUCGGGUUUGUCUAUCUGACAGAGAUGACGACCUGACCAUUCUGUGCGACGGCUGCGACGAGGCUUAUCAUCUGUACUGCAUAACACCUCGGCGUACUUGGAUACCCAAGGGGAAGUGGUAUUGCUCGCGUUGUAGCGUGGAGAGGGCAAAGGCGGGGAUGAGGCGGUAUGAGAAGAAGAUGCUGAAGCAGCAUCGCAAGGAUGAUGAUGCGAGGCUGGAAAGUAGGAAUUUUGCAGCGGUGGAUUUGCUGCUUUCUGCUGCAGAGAAGCUGAGGGAGGAUGAGCAACUGGUGGCUUGUGCAGAUUACUAG
rnacentral:rRNA from 1 species